AAUGUCUUUAGGCUAAAAGCUCCGGUGCCUGAGGAUGGCUCUGCGGCCUAUCAGGUUGUAGUGAGGGUAAUGGCCUCACUAGCCGAUGACGGGUACGGGCCCUGAGAGGGGGAGCCCGGAGAUGGACUCUGAGACACGAGUCCAGGCCCUACGGGGCGCAGCAGGCGCGAAAACUCCGCAAUGCCCGCAAGGGUGACGGGGGGAUUCCAAGUGCCUACGCUUAGCGUAGGCUGUUCAAGUGCCUAAAAAGCACUUGGAGUAAGGGCUGGGUAAGACGGGUGCCAGCCGCCGCGGUAAUACCCGCAGCCCAAGUGGUAGUCGGUUUUAUUGGGCCUAAAGCGUCCGUAGCCGGUCUGGUAAAUGCCUGGGUAAAUCGUGGGGCUUAACCUCACGAAUUCCGGGUAGAUUGUCAGACUUGGGACUGGUUGAGGGAGAGGGUACUCCGGGGGUAGGGGUGAAAUCCUG
rnacentral:rRNA from 1 species